rnacentral:rRNA from 1 species
AUGGAAUUUGCCAUAUCUGUAGUAACAAAUGAGCUCGUGACCCGAUUCAUCUCCUUCCCCACCAACAGGUAUUCAUACCAUGCAUGCUCUGACGAGAAGCGUCUGCAGAGGCUGCAGCGACUGCUCCUUAGAGUUCACACCGUCGUCGAGGAGGCGGACGGGCGGUACAUCACCAACUCUGGGAUGCUGGUACAGCUCAAGAUGCUCACGGACGCCAUGUAUCGAGGAUACUGGGCGAUGGGCGCGUUCAACUACGGAUCCCUCAAGGAGACUCUUAUGGCGGAUGAGGAGGAGGAGGAGAUGAUCUUGAGCUUCCUCUUGCAAGACAGCCCUACUGCUGCCACGCCAGCCGUUCUUCCAAUCAUUAGCGGGCUUGCGGUGGGGAAGAAAACUUUGGUUGCGCAUGUAUGCAAGGAUGAGAGGGUAUGCUCACACUUCUCUUCAAUUAUGCGCUUGAAUGAAACCGAUUUUUAUACAGUAGCGGAUAGAGGAAGUGCCAUGUCAGGGACGGGGAGGAUAUUGAUAGUUAUUGAGAUUGAUUCAGAUGUGGAUGAAAAGGAUUGGACCGCAUUUUAUUCUUAUGUGGAAAGCAUGGAUGGAAGAAGCAAAGUGAUAAUCUUAAGUAGGCUUAAAAAGAUGGAGAAAUUUUCUCAAUGUCCUGACAUAUGA